rnacentral:snRNA from 1 species
UAAGUUAGGCGGUUCCCCCAGAGCGAGGCUCCUCCAUUGCACUGCGGCGGGGUUGACCUCUGUGAUUAUCCCUUAUGUGGAUAACUCGGACGCGUAAUUUUUGGUAGCAGGGGACUGUGUACGCGCCGUA